UACGUAGGGGGCAAGCGUUGUCCGGAUUUAUUGGGCGUAAAGCGCUCGCAGGUGGUUCGAUGCGUCGUGCGUGAAAGACCCCGGCUCAACUGGGGAGGGUCGUGCGAUACGGUCGGACUGGAGGCCAGUAGGGGGAUGCGGAAUUCCGGGUGUAGUGGUGGAAUGCGUAGAGAUCCGGAGGAACACCGAUGGCGAAGGCAGGUCACUGGGCCGCAACUGACGCUGAGGAGCGAAGCGUGGGAGCAACAGG
rnacentral:rRNA from 1 species